CGACAGUGAGUAGUUCUUUCAAAAUUUGACGUUGUUCAACCCAUAGACCGCGUACACUGUCCAGCAGUGAUAGUGAAGAUUCAUCCCUGGUGGAUAUUGCCAGACCGACGCCAGCACCGAUAAUACUACCCUGCCAACCAAUGAGGUCAACACAAAAUUGUGCACCAAGAGGACUUCCGUCAACCCCCAGUAUGGGCAGGAACUCUGGGCCGAGUUUGCCCUUGCUGGGUAGCCCAGCUAGUGCUAUGCUGACUGCACAACAGGCUGUUAGAAGAAACCACGAGACAAGACUAGUGUCAAAUUCAGUUAUCGAGAAAAUAACGAAGGAAUGGUCCGUACAGAAUGCGACAGAGAUGGCGGACGCCGAAGAAGAAACAGUGAUGACUACAUGAUGUAAUUUAAUUUAAUAACCAUAAUUUAUCAUCCAUUAAAGACUUUUGUAGGAGAUAUCGCUGGCGCUAUAAUUUGCGAUAUAUCCUGUGAUAUUCCCCUUAGGAGAUAUCACUUCUGUUACGUCACUGUGUGUCUUUUCGGUGUCAUUAGUGACGUCACGUGACUGCCAUUCUACUAGUGAGUCUACCGCUGCCAAAUAAAGUGGCAUUCAACCCACAUUACUGUUUACAAUUGUCGCAAAGAAUGAUAAUGGAUGAUAAAAAGAAUAUCCCCCUUGUGUCUUGUGAUAUCAUAAUUUAUCAGCACUCGUUAAUAAAAGUAUACAAAUCCCAGGCAGGUUAAACGAAAAAUCGGUUUCUUUAAAAAUUAACAGUGAUGAAAUUGAUACCCCAAUCCUAGCUUGGACUGUGCAAGUGAAAUAUGGCAACAUUUUGUUGUCCCCCUCUUGUUUUGGUUAAAACAUUUUAAGACAAACUUUGUUAUUCAUAAAAAAAACCCCUAAUAAUAUAGAUAUUAUUACUUGCAUGUGAAUUCUACUGAUUUUACGAAACUAUAGCUGGAUUCAUGUAUUGCCCUCGCUCUUAUUACCCUCAUGCUAUUGGUUAAAGGAAACCGAUAUUAACCCAUUGAUGGUAGUUAAACCGGUUAAUUUCAUCUUGUGAAAAUGCACAAUCGAUAGCGCUGUAUUAGUUCCAUAGUGUAUACAGUAUUACAUUUUGGGUUUACAAACUGCUUGUAUUGGUAGUAGUGCUGUCUGUCCUGUCUCUGUCCGCCUGUCCCACAUAGUUUUUAGGGGGUUUACUUUUUACAAUGCCUCAAGAUACUUGGCUGAAAUUUUGUGCAUAGCUUUAUUCUUAACUCUUACAGAUCAAGUUUGAUUUUUGUUUUUGAACUUGGGAGAAAAGAAAAAUUAAUUUACAGACUGGGUUGAGUUUUUUUUAUAUGCCCGUCUAUGAUGGGUCAUGUUGUGGUAUGUCAUUGUACAUCUGUCCCGUCUCUUACCGUUUUCUAGUCUGGACCAUAUCUUGCAUACAAGACCAUCUAACCUUACAUGUAGGAACAACUUGGGAUGGUAGUGUGUCGUGUACUUUUACUAGGCCACUGUGACCUAUUGUUCAUGGUUACUGCACAACAAUAAAUCCGUGACCAGCUAAUUUCUUGGUGGUUGUAUAUUGUUAACAUUACAUAAACUGUUUCUCUGCCAGUAUAAAUGUGUCACCAGAGUACCCAUGCUAAACAAAAUUUCCCUUUCUAAUAAAGAGCAAUAACUUCAUUAAUCAGACAGCACCUUCUCCAAUGGUUACAGUAUCAUCAGUAGUUGGUCCAAAAUAAACUGUUCAUCUAUCCCAUUGCAAAAAUUUCACAUAAUUGGAAUUAAUCAUACCCUAACAUAAUCAACAUGUUCAUUACUAUCUAUGGUUUUCCAUCACACUCCUAACGGGCGUAUCAUACACUGUUUUCACAAUGCUUCCAGAUAUUCAGCAGAUCAAGUUCGACAUUCAUGACCAUUUUCCCGUUUUUGACAGUUCUGGCCCUUGAAUUUAGGAGACCAGAUUUUUCUCUCUCAGUUCUUUAAGAUAUUGAAUAGGAAAUUUUAUGCACAUUUUUAUCAUGCACUGUUAUAGAUCAAGUCUGACUUUAUGGCAAUCUACCAAUUUUUCACAGACUUAUUUAUGCACCUUGAACUUAGAAGAUAUGAAAUGUCUUCUUUUUUUUUGGAAUUUUUGGUCAUGUCCUAUUUUUAUAACUCGAGUAACCAAUGUUUACACAUUCACAGUAUGAAAACUAAUCAUCAUAUUUCCUUUUUCUUUUUCAUAAUAUACAUUAAUUAUUUAACUAAUAAAAUGUAAUAAUUAAAUUUCUGUAACAUUCAUUACAACGUAACGUCAUCUCAUUGGUCCAGA